rnacentral:rRNA from 1 species
GAUGAACGCUGGCGGCGUGCCUAAUACAUGCAAGUCGAGCGAAUGGAUUGAGAGCUUGCUCUUAUGAAGUUAGCGGCGGACGGGUGAGUAACACGUGGGUAACCUGCCCAUAAGACUGGGAUAACUCCGGGAAACCGGGGCUAAUACCGGAUAACAUUUUGAACCGCAUGGUUCGAAAUUGAAAGGCGGCUUCGGCUGUCACUUAUGGAUGGACCCGCGUCGCAUUAGCUAGUUGGUGAGGUAACGGCUCACCAAGGCAACGAUGCGUAGCCGACCUGGGAGGGUGAUCGGCCACACUGGGACUGGGACACGGCCCCGACUCUUACGGGAGGCAGCAGUAGGGAAUCUUCCGCAAUGGACGAAAGUCUGACGGAGCAACGCCGCGUGAGUGAUGAAGGCUUUCGGGUCGUAAAACUCUGUUGUUAGGGAAGAACAAGUGCUAGUUGAAUAAGCUGGCACCUUGACGGUACCUAACCAGAAAGCCACGGCUAACUACGUGCCAGCAGCCGCCGUAA